AAAGAAACCGGAUAAAUUCAAGCCGCAAAAAUCAGUUUUGAAGAGCGCAAUUUUUUUGAAGAACCAGUUUUGUUUCUCAAUUAACAUAAACCUAAUCGGAAUCCAAGCCCUAUGCUCUCUCACUUUCAUCCAGGUGAUACCAAGAAUAUUUUCAGAAGCUACUAGAGUGUAUCUCUAUUAUUUUUGCGGACGGAGCCCUUGUGUGAUCUUGAUAGGAUGUUCUCAAAGAAAUGCAGAGAGGAGGACGAACAGGGGCAUAUAUAUUUUUGUUGCAUUCCUCCCGUCUGAAAUUCUAACGGAGAAGGUUCUUGAAGGUAAUUGAGAGGUGAGAAAAACAAAGAAAAGCUAUUCAUGAAAUGAAUGAAGAAUAUAAAGCUCCAUUUCAAGAUCAACAUCCAAGAUAGGGAUUUCAACAGCAAAAGAGCACUUGAGCAACUAAAAAUAGUGAAUUCACACAAAAAAGAUCUGCAAAGAUACCAAAUAAGUGGCUAAUUUGGGAAUGUAUAGACCUAUAGCACCUGUUCUUACAUUUUGUAAAGAAUACCCCAUUUGAACUGUUGGACUCUCUAUUUGAAGUGCUGGAAUUCUAUUUUAACUAUUAGGGCUCAUUUAAAUUAAUUGUUGUGCUAAAAGACAAUUGUAAGACUCGAUACUGUACUUGGGGUUACUGUUAACGCAGAGGAUAAGAUAAGGGUUAAUAGUUUUGGGAUCAAAGCCAGUCAUUUUUUAUAAUGCUAUGGCCAUUUUCUC